CCUCGUUGCUUUUCUUAAAUACCAAUAAAUUGGCCAGAUCAGUGAUUGGAAUCAAUUAAAUAAUUAUUUUUUAAUUACUAACCUUAGACAUCAAUUGAUUAAUUGAUCCGAUUAGGUUGCUUAGGUGAAUCAUAUUCGAAUCAUAGAGCCGAAUUAGGUCCUUAAACUAAUCAAUUCUACAUAUGGAUGUCAAUCGAUUCGAUCAAUAAUAAUUGUAUGAUCUUAAGCUGUAUUGACCUAAUCCUAAUCAACACUUGACUCGGUUUGAUCAACUACGAAAUCGAUUUUGACACAUCAUGAUCAAAUCAGAAAUCUUAGAUGUAAUCCAAUUACAUGAUCUAAUUUGAUCUACCCAUGACCAAUCCUUCAUG
rnacentral:lncRNA from 1 species